GCGCAGUCAUCGCGAGACUCCGCUCGCCCUCCGCGGCUCGCCGCUUCCCAACCGCCCUCGUCCGUCCGCGGCCAGGCAGCGGUGGGGAUGGCGAGCCGCGGAGCCAGGGUGGUGACGAGCACAGCGGCUCCGUCAUUGGGCGAGGAGGCCUGAGGGACUCCAGGCUGGCUGGGUGCGUAAGGACACCACAACCCGCGGCCCCGGCAGAGCGAGGGCGAUGGAGACCAACGUGCCGAAGAGGAAGGAGCCCGCCAAGUCCCUCCGCAUCAAAGUCAUCUCCAUGGGCAACGCCGAAGUGGGGAAAAGCUGUAUUAUAAAGCGCUACUGUGAGAAGAGAUUUGUGUCUAAAUACCUGGCAACCAUCGGGAUUGACUAUGGAGUCACAAAGGUCCAAGUCAGAGACAGAGAGAUCAAAGUUAACAUCUUUGACAUGGCUGGACAUCCCUUCUUCUUUGAGGUCCGAAAUGAGUUUUACAAGGACACACAAGGUGUGAUACUAGUCUAUGAUGUUGGACAGAAAGACUCAUUUGAUGCCCUUGAUUCGUGGCUGGCAGAGAUGAAGCAGGAGCUUGGGCCUCACGGGAACAUGGACAACAUUGUCUUUGUUGUUUGUGCCAACAAGGGUAGAGACCUCACGUGGCCUGGUGUAGUGGGCCAAGGUGGAUUCUCUCUCUGUCCUGCCCUGACUUUAUUUCAGAUCGACUGCUCCAAACACCGCUGCAUCGAUGAAAGUGAGGGGCGUCUCUGGGCUGAAAGCAAAGGGUUCCUGUACUUUGAAACAUCAGCACAAACUGGAGAGGGAAUCAACGAGAUGUUCCAGACCUUUUACUUGUCCAUAGUUGACUUGUGUGAAAAUGGCGGGAAGCGUCCUACUGCAAGUAGCAGUGCUAGUUUCACCAAAGAACAAGCAGACACUAUUCGCAGAAUCCGAAAUAGUAAGGACAGCUGGGAGAUGCUAGGAGUCAGACCUGGAGCCUCAAGGGAGGAAGUUAAUAAGGCCUACCGGAAGCUGGCUGUGCUGCUUCACCCGGACAAGUGUGUAGCACCAGGCAGUGAAGAUGCCUUCAAAGCAGUUGUGAAUGCCCGGACAGCCCUCCUGAAAAACAUCAAGUAGAGGCAGAGGAAACUACAAGCGAGCUCAAGUGCAAACAGACUCCCCUUGAGACCCUGGUCUGCCUAGCACUCUGGGAACCCAGAAAAUGGCCCUCUUCACUGUCCUCUAACUGCACAUCUUGCAGACAUGCUCCAAGUGUCUCAGUUCUCACAGGGCCCAUCUGUCCCCCUGGACACAGAGCACACUGGGGAGAUGUAAUUGCAGCCAGGGACCCUGGCAAGAAGAAAAAGGAAGAAGUACUUGUUGAUUGGAAGGUUGUGGAACCGGGCGUGGUGGAGCACGAUUUAAUCAUAGCACUUGGGAGGCAGAGGCAGGCCUGAGUUCGAGGCCAGCCUGGUCUACAGAGUGAGUUCCAGGACAGCCAGAGCUACACAGAGAAACCCUGUCUCAGAAAAACAAAAGGUUGUAGGACCUGUGCCAUGCAGUGGCUCCAGGCUGUAAUUAAAUCUUGCAUUGUAAGGAAACUACAGACUGCUAGGAAGAGGCUUUUAGCCAUUUAGGUGUUUUGUUGUUGUUUUGUUUUAAAGCUAACAUCGAUCAGUGCUCUGUGGCUGGAAUUUCAAAUCCACUUAAUGCAAUUAGAAUCCACAAACUCUCAGGUUACACAGAAUCAGGGAGAAUGAAGCAGGAGGUUUGGCAGUGUCUUUUUUUCCUGCUAAUUAAUAGUGGUCCUGGGCAGGCUGAAGUAACUUCCUCCUUUAUUGACAGGCUAUCCUGUUCGAUAACACUAGAGGUUUAUAGUGCUGGGUCUGGUGCUGCAGGCUGAUAAUUGCCCUACUCCCGAGGUUAUAUCAGAGGACCUCAAGUUCAAGGCCUUGCUUGGACAAUUUAGUGAGACCCAGUCUAAAAAAAAUUAUGUGGCACAAGCCUUUAAUCUCAUCACUCGGGAGGCAGCAGUAGAUGAAUCUCUGUAAGUUCAAGGCCAACCUGCUCUACAGAGUGAGUUUCAGGUCAGCCAGAACCAAAUAGAGUAAGCCACUGUUUCCAAAACCUUUUAAAAAUAGAAAAGAUUUAUUAAAAAUGAUUUUAAUAAAAUGGUGAACUAGACUUCUCUGGCACUGUUGAUCCCCUGCCUUGUCUUCAUUAAAUAAAACCCCCAAACUCCUUACAUGCAACUGUGACUAUAGUUAUCACAUUAUGGUCCUACAUACAUACAACCAGGUGACCUCAUGAGUGUGAUCUCAUCUGGGUUAGGGUCUACACCAGAUGAAGUCAGUUUUACCAGAGGUUCUCAGCCUGUGGGAUGUGCCCCUUGGAGGGGGUGUUGGGUGACCCUUUCACAGGAAUCACCCGUAAGAUAGCCUGCACAUCGGGUAUAUACAUUACAAUUUCUAUGAUUUGAAUCCCAGGUUUUUUGAGUAUUAGUAAUGAUGCCCAAAAAGUUUCCCAUUUUACAGCAUUCCUUUUUUUUUUUUUAAAAAGACUUAUUUAUUUAUUAUUAUUUGUAAGUACACUGUAGCUGUCUUCAGACACUCCAGAAGAGGGUGUCAGAUCCCAUUACAGAUGGUUGUGAGCCACCAUGUGGUUGCUGGGAUUUGAACUCAGGACCUUUGGAAGAGCAGUCAGUGCUCUUAACCGCUGAGCCAUCUCUCCAGCCCCCUUUGACAGCAUUUCAACCUGGUGCUUUUCCAAUGAUGUUCAGUGUAUAAUCUGUCAUGGUGAUUCAGUAAACAAUAGCCCUGGAACUUUUGGAAAGAUGGGGGCUGGCCAAAGCCUGCAUCUGCAUCCAGGGUCUGGGUGUCACCCCAGUGCCUUGCUGUCAGAGCCUGAAGGGGCCCUGCAUUCUCUGGCCUUGAUCUUACAUUUUUAUCUUCUCUAUAUUCUGAACACAAUGAGCUUAACGUUCUUGACCAUGCUCCUUCAUGACCUUGAUCCUUCACCAAUAUAGCCAAUUUAUAAACCAGGCUGGCCUUGAACUAAAUGCAUGGUCCACCUCUGCCUGGCAACCUAGUGGCUUUGUUUUACUACCUAGCCCGAUGACUGCUCCCUGUGAAGCUCCUAGCUUUGCUGCCUGGGUAUCUGCAGGAGACUCCCUGCUCAGCAGGGCCAGGGUUCCCUGGUCCAGGACCUUUUUGUCAGAAUGUCAUCUCAUGUUUCUCUUUGUGAUGAAAGUGCAUGAUGAAGACGCUUCAACAGCCUGUUCCUGCGCUGUGAGAUGCACUGUGGGUCCCUCAACAGCAUAGUCCCCAAGCCACAAUGAGAGAAGUUAGAGAACACAGCUGGUUGUCUGUGAAAAGGAGCUGAGAGGGAUGAAGUAAACGAGUGGGUGCCCUUAGCACUCAGAUACCGUGCUCAUCGGCCAGACAGACUGUUAGCGUGUUCUCGUGAAGUUUGCCGGGGUAUCUGCUGAGUUUACAAAGUCUCCUAAGGGAGUUGGCUUCAUCCUGGAGUCUUGUUCAGCCUGUGAGGAGUGCCAGAGCCACAGUGUCUAUCAACAGCUCGUUCAGGAGCCCUUCUUCCAGCUUCCUACUACACACAUCUCUCUGCUGCACAGCCCAGAAACUAAGCAUAAACAGUGGACGCCACCCACAUUGGUACUGGUUCUGUUGUCAGGGGUGAGUUUGGAAGUGGGCAUCUGGCCUUAGCCCUGCAGAAAACUUAUGAAUGGAUUCUCCCAGGCAGGACCAGGAAAGAACUCUUUACUUCUGAAAGGAAGGCACAGAAGAAAGUAGUUCUCCACUUCUGCCAAAUAAUGUCCUGUCUUUGUCUACUGCUCACGUCUCGGCAGCCAGCUUACAACCAUGAGGAGCAGGAGCUGCUGAAGCCAGUUGUCUGAAGGGGGCAGGGCAGAAGGUGCAAAGUGCUUGCAUUGUAUUUUUUAAUUAUAUUAUUUUGUCUGCACAUGUGAUAUGUGCCUGCAGGUGUGUGUGUGUGUGUGUGCAUGUGUGCAUGCAUGCAGUUGUGUGUGUGCAUGUUUGUGUAUGGAGGUCAGAUCAGAGGACAACUUUCAGGAGUCAGUUCUCUUCCUCCACUGUGGGGUCGAGGGAUCUAGCUGGUGGUGUCAGGUUUUCAUGACAAAUGCCUUUACCUGCUGAGCCAUCUUGGAGCCUGCACAUGAACUUUAAAGAUGUGUUUCAGGGGCCAUAGUGUGGCUCAGCAGUGAGGCACAUGCAAGGAUUGAUUGCUGCUACACACACACACACACACACACACACACACACACACACGCUGCAGAAAUAGCUAGCCUCAGCCUCCCUCAGCUUAUUUUACAGGUUACAUUUUCUUCUCUACUGUAUAAUUCACUAACAGUUCAGAGUGUGUUCUUGUCUUCCUUUCUCCAUUGACUUACUAAGUCCUUUUUCUGUAGCAAUUCCUCUGCUGCACUCGGAGGGAGGGAGGGAGGGAGGAUGAAUUUAUAGCUAGCGUUGAAUUUUUUCCUUCACACCAUUCUCUCUGAAGUUAUUUAAAUGUGAUUAUUUUCAAUCUUAAGGCAUAUUUGAAUUUAGACAUGGCUUGUUUAAAAAAAAAUGUAGCAUUUCCCUCUCAAAGUUCCUUAAUGGAAACUGUGAACAGCUGCACAGCUAGGAAGGAAGCUAUUCUACAAAGAACAACAUGCACGGAGAGACUUCUGGAAACCUGCGCCCAACCAGUGCAAGGGCUAAAGAGAGGACAUAGAGGAUUGGAGCCAUUGGGUUCUGCUGGAAACACAAGGUUGAAGGGGAAAAAAAAAAGUGGGCAGAGCAUGCGCAGCCCAUGGAAAGACUGACUGAACUUCACAGCUGCUAAAAUUAACUGAGGUUCCCAGUGCAAACGGAUUUAACACUGGUGGGUAGUGUGGGGUCCAGGGUGGGGGCUGCAAAUGAAUGGAAGCACCACGUGGAUCAGGGAGCCCUGCACUGGGUGCUGGAUCCCUAGCCCAGCCUGGCUGUGAGUCAGAGUAUCCCACACCCCUUGGCAGGAGCUGGCGGCUUGCAGAGCUCACAGCAUCAGAGAGGAGCUAGUGAGAGACAAGAUUCUUGCAGUCUACUCUAGGAAAAAGAAGAAUGCACGUAAAAAAUAAAAUUCUCUGUCUAUCUCUCUGCUCUCUGUCUCUGUCUGUCUCUCUGUCUCUGUCUGUCUCUCUGUCUCUCUCUUUGGUCUGGCUGGGCAUCCCUGCAUGACACGGUGGGGUGGAGAGAGAUAGAAGAAGAGGAGGCAGCAUGUUCAUCUUCUCCUCCGCCCCGUGCAACACACCUUUGUCAAAGUGAGUCACCCCACAAUUACAGAAGUUACUCUCUGCUAAAGCUCAACAAAACCCCAACGUGUUCCAUAGGAGUGUAAGCCUGCCCAUUGACUGCUGGGAAGUUCCAUAGGAGUGUAAGCCUGCCCAUUGCCUGCUGGGAAGUUCCAUAGGAGUGUAAGCCUGCCCAUUGCCUGCUGGGAAGCCAUAGGAGUGUAAGCCUGCCCAUUGCCUGCUGGGAAGCCAUAGGAGUGUAAGCCUGCCCAUUGCCUGCUGGGAAGCCAUAGGAGUGUAAGCCUGCUCAUUGCCUGCUGGGAAGCCAUAGGAGUGUAAGCCUGCCCAUUGCCUGCUGGGAAGCCUGAGGACUCUAAGGAAGGACCCCAGGGGCACUUUAGCCACCUUUGGACUCCUGACUUCUGGUGGAUGCUACCUCACUUCCUCUCCAGAGUUUCUUCUUCGGCCAAACCAUCUUGUAUCCCUGGUGAAUCCUCCGGCCGGAUAAGUGAGCAGGACAGGUCAUUUGCUGGAAAGAAUCUUUGAUAGCUCCUGUAGAGUAAGCCCGGUGUUCAAGACCACCUGUGGUAUGGUUCUUUGCUAUCAUUCUCCUGUGUGUCAGAGUGUGUGUGCACACACGUAUGUACGAUGUGGAUGCUAUAGGACAGCCUUGGAUGUUACUCCUUGGGGAUCAUCAUCCCCCCUACCUUGGUUUUGGGAUAGGGACUCUGACUGGCUGGGAACUCAUCAAGAAUAGACUGGGUGGCCAGGUAGCCCAGGUGUCUGCUUUUCCCUCCUACCAUUCUAUAUCCCCAGGCAGGCUCUGCACUUUCAGGCAAGUGUCUGGUCACCCCGCACACUGGUGCCUGAGUAUAGAAUUGAAGUCCAGAGAGAAUGUUAGUUAUCAAAGCCUAUACAAAUUUGGGCCCCAGCUGCCAAUUCCACUUUCAGUCUGUGUAGAGCUGAUGGGCUGUGCCCACCUGGUUCCUGGACACACUUCCUGAAUUGUUCAGAGGUAGACAUAGGGACUGAUGUGUGCACAGAUCUCAGCAGUAAUAUGCAGUCUCUCUCUCUCUCUCUCUCUCUCUCUCUCUCACACACACACACACACACACACACACACACACACACACACACACAUACACACACAGCAGUAAUAUGCAGUCUCUCUCUCACACACACAGCAGUAAUAUGCAGUCUCUCUCUCUCUCUCUCUCUCUCUCUCUCUCACACACACACACACACACACACACACACACACACACACAUACACAGAGAGUCAGCAGUAGGUAAAUCAGGCUGCUUUGAGCCCUCCCCCAGGCCAGGCUUUGGGGAUUUUCUGUUAUCACUCGACUAUCUAGGUUUCUGCCUUCUGACUGGGCAACUUUCCCCAAUCCGUGGUGGGAAGGAUGCAUGGAUUUAUGCUUACAGGUAGCUAAGGUAGAGGCCCCUCCACCUGCCAUUCCCGCUAAGCCCUCUGCUUGGCUUUCCCCAGGACCCAUCUUGCUUUCUGUCUAAGCAUAUUAGAUGGCAUGAGUCUCUCAUUCCUCCAGCAAUGGCUGCUGAUGCUGAGCAGGUCAUGGACCUGACUACCAGACUCCAUUGGUGCAUUACCCUUUAUUGGCUGCAAGACUUUGGUUGAGUGAAGAAUCCAGCCUCAGUUUUUUCAUCCAGAAAGUGGGCAUGGUCAUUGCACUUUCCACGUAGAAUUGCUGAGAAGAUUAUGUGAGGUAAGAAGCCUGAGACCUCACCAAGGAACUGCAUAGAAGCUGAAGCCUUUACCAUGUAAUCUGUGGUCAGAAUGAAAACCGUAAGCAUUUUGGAGGAAGGGAUACAGUCUGAAUGAACUAUGCUUCAGGGAAACUACUCAUAGCAUCUAAUAGGAACUUUAGAAUAGGUGGCAUGUAUAUGUGUACAUAUGUGUAUACAUAUAUAUUAUAAGAAGAGUUGUGGGCUGAUGAGAUGGCUCAGUAAGAGCACCGACUGCUCUUCCGACGGUCCAGAGUUCAAAUCCCAGCAACCACAUGGUGGCUCACAACCAUCUGUAAUGAGAUCUGAUGCCCUCUUCUGGAAUGUCUGAAGACAGCUACAGUGUACUUACAUAGAAUAAAUAAAUCUUAAAAAAAAAAAAAAAGAUGUGAUGGUAUUUAAAAGAAGAAGAAGAAGAAGAGUUGUUAGAUUUGGAUCGGCGAGGCAGUCAGCAAUAGCUGUCUCAGAGUGAGAGGGCUGAGAACCUGGUGGCUGCUCAGUCAUGUGGCUAGAUGUCUCCGCAGUCCCGAUUGGGCUUUGAAAACCUGGAGAAUUCCUGGAGAACCACUAGUCUUCGGUUGGCGUUAGAAGCGUGGAGAAGCUGGAUUCUGAUACAGCAAAGAAAUACAGCAGCAGCAGCAGCAGCAACCGGAUAGAUGAAGUUGCCAACAAGAGUGCAGAAUGUAGGCAAAGGAACUGGCGCAACCUGCAGAGGACUGGGUUCUGCUCUCUGGUGCCUAUGUGGUGGUUUGCAGCUAUUCUCAGCUUCUAGUGCCAGGCACCCAGCACCUCCUCCGACCUCCCUGGCCACCAGGCAUGUACACAUGUUGUGCACAUACAUGCAUGCAGGCAAAACAUACCUAUAAAAUAAAUAAAUCUUAAUGUAAAAAAAAAAAGCAAAGGCAAGCAGGCACAAAGUGAAGCUUCCGUCCAUCUCCAUUUAUCUGAGCUGCCACCAAAAGAUGCCGCCCACAUCGGGUGAUUCUUCCCACUUGAUGUCAUUUGGUGGAGAAAAUUCCUCCCAAGAAUACCCUACAGUCUGCCUUUUAGUUGUUCCCGGGUCCAGUCAAGUUGACAGCCACGGUUUAUCGUCAGAGGAGGCUUACAGUUUCUGGUGUCCACUCAGCUUCCGGUUCUCCACGACCUCUCACUCCCAGCCAACGUUUGUAGAAUGAAGUGUGCGUCAUCUGGAUACAGAGUAAGGGCACCUGGAAGGGGACAAAAGGGAGAGCUAUCUGUCCACAGUUUUCUCCUGUCCUGACCAUUUUACGGGGUCUUCCUUCUCAUGCGAUGCUUCAGGUUUAACAUGCUAGCACCCAGUUUUACAGCACAGAAUUGAGACAUUUUGAGAAGAUCUAAAAUAUGUUAUUGUGUGUAUGUGCUUGAAGUGAACACAUGUGGCAUGGCAUGCAUAUGGAAGUCAGAGGACAAUUUUUUGUGGAGUCUUUUCUCCUUCACCUUUAGUGUGUUCUGGGACUUAAACCUAGGUCACCAGGUUUGUGUGACAAGCUCCUUUACCCACUGAGUAGUCUCCCUAGCCCUGGAGAAGAUUUUAAUGGGAAGAAUUAAGAUGAGUCUUAGCUCUAAUAAGUACCAACCGGAUAUCAUAUUAUGAGCCAACUGUACUAGGCAGAAUAGUUUCCCACCCAAUGUGAUUACCCUGCUCUCCAGGAACUGUGAUGAUGUUGUCUUAUAUGGCAAAGGGGGUCUCUGAAUAGAAUUACAUUAAGGAACCUCAGUACCUUGAAAAAUGCCAGGGUCCAGUAUAAUUACCUGGAGCCUUUGGUCGGCCUGUUUGUUUUCUUUGAGGCAAGGUCUUGUGUAGUUUAGGCUGGCCUUCAUCUAGAUAUAUAGCCAAAGUUGGCCUUGAACUCCCUAUGCCUCUACCUCUACUUCCAACCCUGAAAAUGCUGAGAUUUCAAGCAUGUGAUAACAAGCUCAGGUCUACCUGGCACUGAGGAACUAGUUGCUGUGUCCAGACUACUGAAGGCAUGGCAGGACUCCCAAGAGCCAGGGAAGGCAAGGGAGUCCCCCGAGCCUCCAGAAAGGAAGGCAGCCCUGACACACCUCAACACUGGCUCUGGGAGGCCUGUCUGGGCUCUGACCUCCAGGAAUGGUCAGCAAAGAGUCCCAGCUCCAAUGCCACUGGCUAGUGGUGUGUGAGGCAGCUAUGGAAAAUGAAUACACUUCCCAGGUGCCGAUGAGGCCAAACACAGGGGACAUGCCAUCAUUUUCCACUUUGGAGAACUCACCCAGUGAGGGAGACAGACAAGAAGACUCUUCAUAGCAGUAGGGUUCCUAAGGGGCCACAUUGACUAGGGAAUUAUCUCUGCCUAGGGAUCAGAGAGACACAGAGCAGGUGAGCUAGGGUGUGUCUCUGGGAUAGGUAGUAGUUUGUUUUUUAUUUUAUUUGUCUUGAAGUGGGGAAAAGGAAAUGCAGGCUCAGGGGACAGUAUGCACAAAGACACUACAGUAGGAGAAAUAUGAUGUAUUUCCAUCUGCGAAGACAGCGGCAGUGGAACCAGGGACUGAGGAGAGGCAGUGUGUGCGUGUGUCCGUCCAUCCUCCAGUGUCCUCAGAGUGAGGAAGGAGGUGGGCAUCUCUGGGCUUUCUGCAGAGAGGAGGACCUUCCUGGAGUUCCAGUCACCAGAAACUCCCACCUGGCUCCUUCUUGGAAUCUUGUUUUGUGCCUCAGAAAUGGACACGAAGGGACUGGGGAUUGAUUCAGAGAGUAAAGCAACUGGCCACAGGAACUAGGACUUGGAUUCAGGUCCCCAGAACCCAUUUAGAAAGCCAGGCAUAGCAGUCACCCCUGCAGCCCCUGUGUUGUCGGUGUGCCUGUAUGUGCACGCCUAGCCAAAAGGAUGUGCAUCUGGCUCAGUGAGAGAUCCUGCCUCAGAAAAUACAGACGAAAAGGGAUGGGGGUGGGAAGUGAUGUUGACCUCUGACCUCUAUGUGCAUUGGCAUACACUUUGUUAGGGUUAAUAUUGCUGUGAUGAAAUACCAUGAACCAAGGCUUAGAGAAGAAAGUGUUUAAUUGGGGGUUUCCUUACAGCUUCAAGGGUUAGACUGUGGUCAUCAUGGUGGGAAGCAUGGUGGCAGGCAAGCAGGCAGGUGCAGUGCUGGAGCAGUAGCUGAGAGCUUAAAAUAGCAGCAGCCAGAGAGAGAGCGAGACUGAGUCUGGUAUGAGCUUUUGAAGCCUCAAAGCCAACCCCCUGUGACACACCUCCUCCAACAAGGCCACACCCCUGUGACACACCUCCAACAAGGCCACACCUUCUAGUCAUUCCUAAACAGAUUGCCCACUGGGGACCAAACAUUUAAAUAUAUGAAUGUAUAGGGGUCAUUCCUAUUAAACCACUAACACACACACACACACAAAUAUGCACAUACACAGAAUUUUUAAAAAGUGGAUAUGUACUGGGCAGUGGUGGUACAUGCCUUUAAUCCCAGCACUUGGGAGGCAGGCAGAUUUCUGAGUUCGAGGCCAGCCUGGUCUACAGAUUGAGUUCCAGGACAGCCAGGGCUAUACAGAGAAACCCUGUCACGAAAAACAACAACAACAACAAACAAACAAAAAAAAGUGGAUAUGUUUGUGCCUUCUGUUCCACAAUUAAUCCCUGAUGGUUUCAGAAUAAAAAUAGUGAUUUGAGGCUGGAGAGAUGGCUCAGCCAAGAGAGCACUUGCUGCUCCCGCAGAGGACCUGCAAUUGGUUCCCAGCAGCCACAAGGUGACUCACGACCAUCUGUAAUGGUUCCAGAGGAUCUGAUACCAUCCUCUGGCCUCCUCUGGCGCCAGGCAUGCACAUGCAUGCAGAUAGACACUCAGACACACAAAAUAAAAGGAAUAUGUCCCUUUUAAAAAGUGAUUCAAGGGCUGGAGAGAUGGCUCAGUGGUUAAGAGCACUGACUGCUCUUCUGAAGGUCCUAAGUUCAAAUCCCAGCAACCACAUGGUGGCUCACAACCAUCUAUAAUGAGAUCUGACGACCUCUUCUGGUGUGUCUGAAGGCAGCUACAGUGAACUUACAUAUAGCAAUAAAUAAAUCUUUAAAAAAAAAAAAGUGAUUCAAUUGCAUAGUGGUUAAAUGACUCAGUUUCCCUCCAAGAUAAAAAGAAAAACAAAACUACUUCCAUUAUAAAUAUUAUCAUACAAACUUUGUGGAGUUUGCUUCUUCUAGAGUGCCCCAGUAUACCCUAAGGGUAUUUAUGUUGGAAUUGAAGAAGGGAACUGACAUAGUUUAACUUUU